CGGGGUGUAGCGCAGCCUGGUAGCGCGCGUCGUUCGGGACGACGAGGUCGUGAGUUCGAGUCUCACCACCCCGACCA
rnacentral:tRNA from 2 species